rnacentral:rRNA from 1 species
GACAGAGGGUGCAAACGUUGCUCGGAAUUACUGGGCGUAAAGCGCGUGUAGGCGGGUCGGCAUGUCGGGUGUGAAAUCCCCAGGCUCAACCUGGGAACUGCAUUCGAAACUACCGGCCUUGAGUGGUGGAGAGGGAAGUGGAAUUCCUGGUGUAGAGGUGAAAUUCGUAGAUAUCAGGAGGAACACCAGUGGCGAAGGCGGCUUCCUGGACACCAACUGACGCUGAGACGCGAAAGCGUGGGGAGCAAACAGG